rnacentral:lncRNA from 1 species
AUGCACAUCUUCAUAGUAUGCUGGGCCAGGAGGAAAUCCAUUACAUUCCCAGAUUCUUGUCUGGUUUGGAAUGUGGAGCUCACUGUUAAUCUCAUUUUAAAAAUCUAAAUCUGGAUUCAGAAUGAACAGAAUUGGGGAAUUCUCUUCCUCUGUGCACCAGCAGAUGCAGUCAUUUUCAAGUUAAUUUAGCUUGGUUGUGCAGUCCUUACACAGCACCAGAUGGGAUUGCUAAAUGCUGAGUGAAGGCUCUAUAUGACCUCGUAUUUGAAAGUAUACAGCUAUUUUGCACUUGUACCAUGUUGAAAACAUUAACUGGGCCUUCCCAAACCUCUAAUGGAUAGGGAAGUAAUACACAAUAUUUGGUGCAUCUAGCAUUCUUCCAGCAUUGUGCAGCAAUGGAGAUUGACCAGAAGCCUAUACUAAGGAUGGACAUAGACAGGGUUAACAUGGUAUUUAGGCCCGGGCUCGCAAGCGGGAGAAGUACGCCCCGCUGGCCGACACCCUGAGGAGCCGCGGCUAUGACGUGACGGUGGACGCGCUCAUUGUGGGGACGCUCGGAGCCUGGGACCCCAACAACGAGAGCGUCCUCCGCGCCUGC